rnacentral:rRNA from 1 species
UGCUAAUACAUGCAAGUCGAGCGAACUGAUUAGAAGCUUGCUUCUAUGACGUUAGCGGCGGACGGGUGAGUAACACGUGGGCAACCUGCCUGUAAGACUGGGAUAACUUCGGGAAACCGAAGCUAAUACCGGAUAGGAUCUUCUCCUUCAUGGGAGAUGAUUGAAAGAUGGUUUCGGCUAUCACUUACAGAUGGGCCCGCGGUGCAUUAGCUAGUUGGUGAGGUAACGGCUCACCAAGGCAACGAUGCAUAGCCGACCUGAGAGGGUGAUCGGCCACACUGGGACUGAGACACGGCCCAGACUCCUACGGGAGGCAGCAGUAGGGAAUCUUCCGCAAUGGACGAAAGUCUGACGGAGCAACGCCGCGUGAGUGAUGAAGGCUUUCGGGUCGUAAAACUCUGUUGUUAGGGAAGAACAAGUACGAGAGUAACUGCUCGUACCUUGACGGUACCUAACCAGAAAGCCACGGCUAACUACGUGCCAGCAGCCGCGGUAAUACGUAGGUGGCAAGCGUUAUCCGGAAUUAUUGGGCGUAAAGCGCGCGCAGGCGGUUUCUUAAGUCUGAUGUGAAAGCCCACGGCUCAACCGUGGAGGGUCAUUGGAAACUGGGGAACUUGAGUGCAGAAGAGAAAAGCGGAAUUCCACGUGUAGCGGUGAAAUGCGUAGAGAUGUGGAGGAACACCAGUGGCGAAGGCGGCUUUUUGGUCUGUAACUGACGCUGAGGCGCGAAAGCGUGGGGGAGCAAACAGGAUUAGAUACCCUGGUAGUCCACGCCGUAAACGAUGAGUGCUAAGUGUUAGAGGGU